GGUUCUCGCUGGCAUCGCUGCUGCCUGCAAAAAAAAUAUAGGUGAAAAGAAAGGGAGCGAGAGGGACGGAAGGGGGCUGUGAUAAGGAGGAAGGGGUGAGAGAAGGGGAAAGGGCGACGGGAGGAAGAGGAAAGGGGGAAAGGGGUUGCUGGAAGGAGGGAAAAAAGAGAGGGAAGGAAGAGAAAAAGGGGAGAGGAAGAGGCGGCUGGAGGCGACGGGAGAGGGAAGAAGGGGAGGUGGCGGCUGUGAAGAGAGAGGAAGGGCUGUGAGGGAGAGGGGCUGAUGGAAAAGGGAAAAGGGAGAGGUAAGGGGGAGCGACAGGAGAGGAGAGUGAAGGGGGCGAAAGA
rnacentral:misc_RNA from 1 species